rnacentral:tRNA from 1 species
GAUAGAGUGCUUGGUUGGUGGAGUGCUUGCCUCGCAUGCAGGAGGCCCUGGGUUCAAUCCCCAGUACCA